rnacentral:lncRNA from 1 species
CCACGCCUUAAAAUGGUAGGAGAAACAGCCACUGUUUCCACAUUGGUAACAGUUGUGGGACAACCAUAUAAACCAGCAUUAGCAGGGAACGGAGGCUUCAACCUAGGUUUUCCUUGCUUCCCUUCAAGGCUUUCAAGAAGCGCAGUCUCUUCACCACAAAUGUAAGCACCCGCGCCGUAGUGGAUAUAAACAUCGAAAUCAUAACCAGAACCACAUGCAUUCUUUCCCAAGAGAC